UACAGAGGGGGCAAGCGUUGUUCGGAAUUACUGGGCGUAAAGGGCGCGUAGGCGGCCUGCUAAGUCGAACGUGAAAUCCCCGGGCUCAACCCGGGAACUGCGUCCGAUACUGGUUGGCUUGAAUCCGGGAGAGGGAUGCGGAAUUCCAGGUGUAGCGGUGAAAUGCGUAGAUAUCUGGAGGAACACCGGUGGCGAAGGCGGCAUCCUGGACCGGCAUUGACGCUGAGGCGCGAAAGCGUGAGGAGCAAACAGG
rnacentral:rRNA from 1 species